rnacentral:lncRNA from 1 species
UAUUUUACAUGAUUGAUAAGAUGCAUUAUUGAGUAUUUUUAUCUUUAAAGUUAAGAUUUCUCCAAUCUCAUUAUUUUAAUAGGAUAAGAAUGAAGCAAAAUUAGCUUAAAUAAUAAAAUAAUCAAAAAUUUUGAGAUAUCAUAAUUAGAAUUUCAAUCCAUCAAAAUAAACAAGAGAUUUUACGUGAGUGGAAGAUUUUAUCUAAUCUUGUCUCGAUAAAUAUAUCUAUGUUAUAUUUGACCAACACACACAUUACUAUGCAUUAAUGGCAGAUCUAUUCAUCGUACAGUUUUCCCAGAUGAAGUUUUGAUGAGGCUCGACUCUUUGUUUGAGUUCUACAUUUUAAAGGGUUGUUAAAUUUUUUUAUUUUUCUUUUUUUUUAUAUAUAAAAUUUUAUUUUAAAAAAUGGUUGAUACAUAUUCAUUAUAAUUGACAUUGUACGUACAUAUUAAUGGCUCAUCGUAAAAUUUGAACUAAAAAUUAAAGUAAUUAAAAAAGAUGUAAAGUUUCUUAAAUUCCCUUUUUUUU